rnacentral:lncRNA from 1 species
CAGGGAUUGAACCCAAGUCUCCCACAUCACAGGCAGAUUCUUUAUCAUUUGAGCCACCAGGGAAGCACAGAGGUAUAUACGAAAUAUUUAUUGAAUGCUUUUAGAUUUCAUUCUUUCAGCCAUCAAAUAUUUAUGAUGCAUUUACGCUAAGAGCCAGACAUUAUGCUGGACUCGUGUAAAAUGGAACUAAACCAGAGAGACAAUAUCUCUAAGUUCAUAGAAUUUAAAAUCAAGAGAGGAAAGAAACAAUUUAACAAGUGUCUGUUUUAUACUUGUGGACUCUAAAUUUCACUGAAAUUUGUGAAAUUCCCCAAUGUUCACUGUUCUUAAGUGGCACAACUGGGAUGAACAGCCAGGAAUUUGGAAUUAGCUUGUCAGGUCUCCUUCUUUUAUGGCAUUUGGGAUUAACAUAUGUGAUUUUUUAAAAUUAAUAAUUGCACGUGUUUGUUUGUACUCACAAUGCCCUUCAUUGAGCAGGAAUUUUGUUGCUGUUUGCAUCUAUUGGGAGAGUUCUCAAAGGUAUUAAGGAUUAUCAUUAGACGAUGCUCAUCAAUCAUUAUUAUUGUGGAUAAGCUUCAUUUGAUCUGCCCUUCAAGAACAUCAAAAUUUGAGACUGGAGCACUUCUUCCAGGGGUUUCCCAAAUGGUACUAGGGGUGAAGAAUCCACCUGCCAAUGCAAGAGACACACAAGACACAGGUUCGACCCCUGGAUUGGGAAGAUCCCCUGGAGGAAGAAAUGGCAACCCACUCCAGUAUUCUUGCCUGGAAAAUUCCACAGACAGAGGAGUCUGGUGGGCUACAGUUCAUGGGGUUGCAAAGAGUUGGACACGACUGAGCCACCGAGCACACCUGUUCUGUGUCAUAUAA